UACGUAGGAUGCAAGCGUUGUCCGGAUUUAUUGGGCGUAAAGAGUUCGUAGGUGGUUUGUUAAGUCUGAUGUGAAAGCCCGGGGCUCAACUUCGGGACUGCAUUGGAUACUGGCAGACUUGAGUGUGGUAGAGGCAAGCGGAAUUCCAGGUGUAGCGGUGAAAUGCGUAGAUAUCUGGAAGAACACCGGUGGCGAAAGCGGAUUGCUGGGCCAUAACUGACACUGAGGAACGAAAGCUAGGGGAGCGAAUGGG
rnacentral:rRNA from 1 species